rnacentral:rRNA from 1 species
UACAGAGGGUGCAAGCGUUGUUCGGAAUCAUUGGGCGUAAAGGGCGUGUAGGCGGUUUGUUAAGUCAUGUGUGAAAUCCCUCGGCUCAACCGGGGAACGACGCUUGAAACUGGCAAGCUAGAGUACCAAAGAGGGCGGUGGAAUUCCCGGUGUAGCGGUGGAAUGCGCAGAUAUCAGGAGGAACACCGAUGGCGAAGGCAGGUCACUGGGCCGCAACUGACGCUGAGGAGCGAAAGCAUGGGGAGCGAACAGG